rnacentral:rRNA from 1 species
UACAGAGGGUGCGAGCGUUAAUCGGAAUUACUGGGCGUAAAGCGCGCGUAGGCGGCUUUGCAAGUCGAUUGUGAAAUCCCCAGGCUUAACCUGGGAACUGCAUUCGAGACUGCAUAGCUAGAGUAUGGGAGAGGGAAGUGGAAUUUCAGGUGUAGCGGUGAAAUGCGUAGAUAUCUGAAGGAACAUCAGUGGCGAAAGCGACUUCCUGGACCAAUACUGACGCUCAUGUGCGAAAGCGUGGGGAGCAAACCGG